rnacentral:rRNA from 1 species
AGCUCUAAUAGCGUAUAUUAAAGUUGUUGCAGUUAAAAAGCUCGUAGUCGGAUGUCGGGCUCGGGCAGGCUGUCGGCUUCGGUCGGACGGCAGGCUCGGGUCUUUCUGCCUGAGGAUCCAUUUGCACUUUAUUGUGGAGGUGGGGACGCAGGCCGUUUACUUUGAAAAAAUUAGAGUGUUCAAAGCAGGCCUACGCUUGAAUACAUUAGCAUGGAAUAAUGGAAUAGGACUUUGGUGCUAUUUUGUUGGUUUAUGGGACCGAAGUAAUGAUUAACAGGGACAGUUGGGGCCGUUUAUAUUUCGUUUUUUUUUGUGAAAUUCUUGGAUUUACGAAAGAUAAACUUCUGCGAAAGCAUUCGGCAAGGAUGUUUUCA